GAUGAAGAGCGUAGCGAAAUGCGAUAAGUAAUGCGAAUUGCAGAAUUUCCGUGAGUCAUCGAAUCUUUGAACGCACAUUGCGCCCACUGGUAUUCCGGUGGGCAUGCCUGUUCGAGCGUCAUUAUCCUCCCUCAAACCCCGGGUUUGGUGUUGGACCCAAGUUGUGUGAACAACUGGUCUCAAAGACAAUGACGGCGUCCGUGGGACCCUCGGUGCAACGAGCUUUUAGGAGCACGCAUCGAGUUGCAAGGACCUUCCGGGCCGGUCUCCUUUACCAUUUUACAAGGUUGACCUCGGAUCAGGUAGGAAUACCCGCUGAACUUAAGCAUAUCAAUAAGCGGAGGA
rnacentral:misc_RNA from 1 species